GACGAACGCUGGCGGCGUGCUUAAUACAUGCAAGUCGAGCGAGGUUACUGUUUUGGAUCCCUUCGGGGUGAAGAAGCUUUAACCUAGCGGCGGACGGGUGAGUAACGCGUGGGUAACCUACCCCAAAGUCCGGGAUAACAGCGGGAAACCGCUGCUAAUACCGGAUGUCUUUACCUUGGGGCAUCUUGAGGUAAAGAAAGGUAACGCUUUGGGAUGGGCCCGCGUCCCAUUAGCUAGUUGGUGAGGUAACGGCUCACCAAGGCGACGAUGGGUAGCCGGCCUGAGAGGGUGGACGGCCACACUGGGACUGAGACACGGCCCAGACUCCUACGGGAGGCAGCAGUAGGGAAUAUUGCGCAAUGGACGGAAGUCUGACGCAGCGACGCCGCGUGAGCGAUGAAGGCCUUCGGGUCGUAAAGCUCUGUCCUUGGGGAAGAAGGUCUUCGGACUUGACGGUACCCAAGAAGAAAGCCCCGGCUAACUACGUGCCAGCAGCCGCGGUAAUACGUAGGGGGCGAGCGUUGUCCGGAAUUACUGGGCGUAAAGGGUGCGUAGGCGGCCCUUUAAGUCAGAUGUGAAAGCCCGCAGCUUAACUGCGGAAUUGCAUUUGAAACUGGAGGGCUUGAGUGUCGGAGAGGGUAGCGGAAUUCCCAGUGUAGCGGUGAAAUGCGUAGAUUUUGGGAGGAACACCAGUGGCGAAGGCGACUACCUGGACGAUAACUGACGCUGAGGCACGAAAGCUAGGGGAGCAAACAGG
rnacentral:rRNA from 1 species